rnacentral:rRNA from 1 species
AGCGUACACGGUGGAUGCCCUGGCAGUCAGAGGCGAUGAAGGACGUGCUAAUCUGCGAAAAGCGCCGGCGAGGUGAUAUGAACCUUUGACCCGGCGAUGUCCGAAUGGGGAAACCCAGUGCAAUCCGUUGCACUAUCGUUAACUGAAUACAUAGGUUAACGAGGCGAACCGGGGGAACUGAAACAUCUAAGUACCCCGAGGAAAAGAAAUCAACCGAGAUUCCCCCAGUAGCGGCGAGCGAACGGGGAGCAGCCCGGAGUCUGAAUCAGCUUGUGUGUUAGUGGAACGGUCUGGAAAGUCCGACGGUACAGGGUGAUAGUCCCGUACACGAAAGCACACAUGCUGUGAACUCGAAGAGUAGGGCGGGACACGUGGUAUCCUGUCUGAAUAUGGGGGGACCAUCCUCCAAGGCUAAAUACUCCUGACUGACCGAUAGUGAACCAGUACCGUGAGGGAAAGGCGAAAAGAACCCCGGCGAGGGGAGUGAAAAAGAACCUGAAACCGUGUACGUACAAGCAGUGGGAGCCUCUUUAUGGGGUGACUGCGUACCUUUUGUAUAAUGGGUCAGCGACUUAUAUUCUGUAGCAAGGUUAACCGUAUAGGGGAGCCGAAGGGAAACCGAGUCUUAACUGGGCGUUAAGUUGCAGGGUAUAGACCCGAAACCCGGUGAUCUAGCCAUGGGCAGGUUGAAGGUUGGGUAACACUAACUGGAGGACCGAACCGACUAAUGUUGAAAAAUUAGCGGAUGACCUGUGGCUGGGGGUGAAAGGCCAAUCAAACCGGGAGAUAGCUGGUUCUCCCCGAAAGCUAUUUAGGUAGCGCCUCGUGAACUCAUCUUCGGGGGUAGAGCACUGUUUCGGCUAGGGGGCCAUCCCGGCUUACCAACCCGAUGCAAACUACGAAUACCGAAGAAUGUUAUCACGGGAGACACACGGCGGGUGCUAACGUCCGUCGUGAAGAGGGAAACAACCCAGACCGCCAGCUAAGGUCCCAAAGUCAUGGUUAAGUGGGAAACGAUGUGGGAAGGCACAGACAGCCAGGAUGUUGGCUUAGAAGCAGCCAUCAUUUAAAGAAAGCGUAAUAGCUCACUGGUCGAGUCGGCCUGCGCGGAAGAUGUAACGGGGCUAAACCAUGCACCGAAGCUGCGGCAGCGACACUAUGUGUUGUUGGGUAGGGGAGCGUUCUGUAAGCCGUUGAAGGUGUCCUGUGAGGGGUGCUGGAGGUAUCAGAAGUGCGAAUGCUGACAUAAGUAACGAUAAAGCGGGUGAAAAGCCCGCUCGCCGGAAGACCAAGGGUUCCUGUCCAACGUUAAUCGGGGCAGGGUGAGUCGACCCCUAAGGCGAGGCCGAAAGGCGUAGUCGAUGGGAAACAGGUUAAUAUUCCUGUACUUGGUGUUACUGCGAAGGGGGGACGGAGAAGGCUAUGUCAGCCGGGCGACGGUUGUCCCGGUUUAAGCAUGUAGGCGGAGGUUCCAGGUAAAUCCGGUACCUUAUUAACGCUGAGGUGUGAUGACGAGGCACUACGGUGCUGAAGUGAUAAAUGCCCUGCUUCCAGGAAAAGCCUCUAAGCAUCAGGUAACACGAAAUCGUACCCCAAACCGACACAGGUGGUCAGGUAGAGAAUACCAAGGCGCUUGAGAGAACUCGGGUGAAGGAACUAGGCAAAAUGGUGCCGUAACUUCGGGAGAAGGCACGCUGAUAUGUAGGUGAAGUCCCUGCGGACGGAGCUGAAAUCAGUCGAAGAUACCAGCUGGCUGCAACUGUUUAUUAAAAACACAGCACUGUGCAAACACGAAAGUGGACGUAUACGGUGUGACGCCUGCCCGGUGCCGGAAGGUUAAUUGAUGGGGUUAGCGGCAACGCGAAGCUCUUGAUCGAAGCCCCGGUAAACGGCGGCCGUAACUAUAACGGUCCUAAGGUAGCGAAAUUCCUUGUCGGGUAAGUUCCGACCUGCACGAAUGGCGUAAUGAUGGCCAGGCUGUCUCCACCCGAGACUCAGUGAAAUUGAACUCGCUGUGAAGAUGCAGUGUACCCGCGGCAAGACGGAAAGACCCCGUGAACCUUUACUAUAGCUUGACACUGAACACUGGUCCUUGAUGUGUAGGAUAGGUGGGAGGCUUUGAAGCGUGGACGCCAGUCUGCGUGGAGCCAACCUUGAAAUACCACCCUUUAAUGGCUGGUGUUCUAACGUAGACCCGUAAUCCGGGUUGCGGACAGUGUCUGGUGGGUAGUUUGACUGGGGCGGUCUCCUCCCAAAGAGUAACGGAGGAGCACGAAGGUUGGCUAAUCCUGGUCGGACAUCAGGAGGUUAGUGCAAUGGCAUAAGCCAGCUUGACUGCGAGCGUGACGGCGCGAGCAGGUGCGAAAGCAGGUCAUAGUGAUCCGGUGGUUCUGAAUGGAAGGGCCAUCGCUCAACGGAUAAAAGGUACUCCGGGGAUAACAGGCUGAUACCGCCCAAGAGUUCAUAUCGACGGCGGUGUUUGGCACCUCGAUGUCGGCUCAUCACAUCCUGGGGCUGAAGUAGGUCCCAAGGGUAUGGCUGUUCGCCAUUUAAAGUGGUACGCGAGCUGGGUUUAGAACGUCGUGAGACAGUUCGGUCCCUAUCUGCCGUGGGCGCUGGAGAAUUGAGGGGGGCUGCUCCUAGUACGAGAGGACCGGAGUGGACGCAUCACUGGUGUUCGGGUUGUCAUGCCAAUGGCACUGCCCGGUAGCUAAAUGCGGAAAAGAUAAGUGCUGAAAGCAUCUAAGCACGAAACUUGCCCCGAGAUGAGUUCU